UACGUAGGGUGCGAGCGUUAAUCGGAAUUACUGGGCGUAAAGCGUGCGCAGGCGGUUUUGUAAGCCAGAUGUGAAAUCCCCGGGCUCAACCUGGGAAUGGCAUUUGGGACUGCAAGGCUUGAGUGCGGCAGAGGAGACUGGAAUUCCUGGUGUAGCAGUGAAAUGCGUAGAUAUCAGGAAGAACACCCGUGGCGAAGGCGGCUCUCUGGGACGGCACUGACGCUGAGACGCGAAAGCGUGGGGAGCGAUCCGG
rnacentral:rRNA from 1 species